UGCUAUACAUGCAAGUCGAACGCGUUGGCCCAAUUGAUUGAUGGUGCUUGCACCUGAUUGAUUUUGGUCGCCAACGAGUGGCGGACGGGUGAGUAACACGUAGGUAACCUGCCCAGAAGCGGGGGACAACAUUUGGAAACAGAUGCUAAUACCGCAUAACAGCGUUGUUCGCAUGAACAACGCUUAAAAGAUGGCUUCUCGCUAUCACUUCUGGAUGGACCUGCGGUGCAUUAGCUUGUUGGUGGGGUAACGGCCUACCAAGGCGAUGAUGCAUAGCCGAGUUGAGAGACUGAUCGGCCACAAUGGGACUGAGACACGGCCCAUACUCCUACGGGAGGCAGCAGUAGGGAAUCUUCCACAAUGGGCGCAAGCCUGAUGGAGCAACACCGCGUGAGUGAAGAAGGGUUUCGGCUCGUAAAGCUCUGUUGUUAAAGAAGAACACGUAUGAGAGUAACUGUUCAUACGUUGACGGUAUUUAACCAGAAAGUCACGGCUAACUACGUGCCAGCAGCCGCGGUAAUACGUAGGUGGCAAGCGUUAUCCGGAUUUAUUGGGCGUAAAGAGAGUGCAGGCGGUUUUCUAAGUCUGAUGUGAAAGCCUUCGGCUUAACCGGAGAAGUGCAUCGGAAACUGGAUAACUUGAGUGCAGAAGAGGGUAGUGGAACUCCAUGUGUAGCGGUGGAAUGCGUAGAUAUAUGGAAGAACACCAGUGGCGAAGGCGGCUACCUGGUCUGCAACUGACGCUGAGACUCGAAAGCAUGGGUAGCGAACAGGAUUAGAUACCCUGGUAGUCCAUGCCGUAAACGAUGAGUGCUAGGUGUUGGAGGGUUUCCGCCCUUCAGUGCCGGAGCUAACGCAUUAAGCACUCCGCCUGGGGAGUACGACCGCAAGGUUGAAACUCAAAGGAAUUGACGGGGGCCCGCACAAGCGGUGGAGCAUGUGGUUUAAUUCGAAGCUACGCGAAGAACCUUACCAGGUCUUGACAUCUUGCGCCAACCCUAGAGAUAGGGCGUUUCCUUCGGGAACGCAAUGACAGGUGGUGCAUGGUCGUCGUCAGCUCGUGUCGUGAGAUGUUGGGUUAAGUCCCGCAACGAGCGCAACCCUUGUUACUAGUUGCCAGCAUUAAGUUGGGCACUCUAGUGAGACUGCCGGUGACAAACCGGAGGAAGGUGGGGACGACGUCAGAUCAUCAUGCCCCUUAUGACCUGGGCUACACACGUGCUACAAUGGACGGUACAACGAGUCGCGAACUCGCGAGGGCAAGCAAAUCUCUUAAAACCGUUCUCAGUUCGGACUGCAGGCUGCAACUCGCCUGCACGAAGUCGGAAUCGCUAGUAAUCGCGGAUCAGCAUGCCGCGGUGAAUACGUUCCCGGGCCUUGUACACACCGCCCGUCACACCAUGAGAGUUUGUAACACCCAAAGUCGGUGGGGUAACCUUUUAGGAGCCAGCCGCCUAAGGUGGACAGA
rnacentral:rRNA from 1 species